UGGCGGACGGGUGAGUAACGCGUGGGUAACCUGCCUCACACUGGGGGACAACAGUUAGAAAUGACUGCUAAUACCGCAUAAGCGCACAGGACCGCAUGGUCCGGUGUGAAAAACUCCGGUGGUGUGAGAUGGACCCGCGUUUGAUUAGCUAGUUGGUGGGGUAACGGCCCACCAAGGCGACGAUCAAUAGCCGACCUGAGAGGGUGACCGGCCACAUUGGGACUGAGACACGGCCCAA
rnacentral:rRNA from 1 species